rnacentral:rRNA from 1 species
UACGUAGGUGGCAAGCGUUGUCCGGAUUUAUUGGGUUUAAAGGGUGCGUAGGCGGCCUUAUAAGUCAGUGCUGAAAUAUCCCGGCUUAACCGGGAGGGUGGCAUUGAUACUGUAGGGCUUGAGUGUAGUCGAGGUAGGCGGAAUUGACGGUGUAGCGGUGAAAUGCUUAGAUAUCGUCAAGAACACCGAUAGCGAAGGCAGCUUACUGGGCUGUAACUGACGCUGAUGCACGAAAGUGUGGGGAUCAAACAGG